rnacentral:rRNA from 1 species
UACGGGGGGGGCAAGCGUUGUUCGGAAUUACUGGGCGUAAAGGGCUCGUAGGCGGCCAAGUAAGUCAGACGUGAAAUCCCUCGGCUUAACCGGGGAACUGCGUCUGAUACUGGAUGGCUUGAGUGUGGGAGAGGAAUGCGGAAUUCCAGGUGUAGCGGUGAAAUGCGUAGAUAUCUGGAGGAACACCGGUGGCGAAGGCGGCAUUCUGGACCAUUACUGACGCUGAGGAGCGAAAGCCAGGGGAGCAAACGGG